GGAUGUGAGGGCAAUAUGACUGCGAUAUGUGUCACCCCAUUGAUCACCAGGGUUGAUUUAGCUGAUCUGGCUGGCUAGGUGGGUGUCCCCUUCCCCCCUCAUGGGAGCUGCACCUGUGUACCUGGAGUCCCUCACAGAGCUGAACACUCGCUCGUUUGAAGAGGAUGACCACCCCUGUAGAGGAGGACCAUUUCCUUGGGCAAGGAUAUACAAGUGGCUGUGCUCCCUGCUAGAACCUCCAAACAAGCUCUCAAGCUACUUCUUUUCCCUCUUUCAGCAGGUGAGAAGACAUGAAUGUUUCUGUGCAGAUGUCUGCAUACCAGCUGUUGGCAAUGGUGCUGCUG
rnacentral:snRNA from 1 species